CACGUGGAUAACCUGCCCUCUAGUGGGGAAUACCGUUGGGAAACCGACGACAAUACCGCAUAAGCUCGAGAGAGGAAAGCAGCAAUGCGCUGGAGGAGGGGUCCGCGGCCGAUUAGCUUGUUGGUAGGGUAAUGGCCUACCAAGGCUUUGAUCGGUAGCCGGCCUGAGAGGGCACACGGCCACACUGGCACUGAAACACGGGCCAGACUCCUACGGGAGGCAGCAGUGGGGAAUAUUGGACAAUGGGGGAAACCCUGAUCCAGCAAUGCCGCGUGAGUGAAGAAGGCCUUCGGGUUGUAA
rnacentral:rRNA from 1 species